AAAGUACUCCCUCCGUCCCAAAAUUCUGUUCUUAGAAUUGUCUAGAUACGGAUGUAUCAAGUCCCAUUUUAGUAUUAGAUACAUCCGUAUCUAGACAAGAAUUUGGGACAGAGGGAGUAGUUG
rfam:Triticum aestivum genome assembly, contig: Triticum_aestivum_CS42_TGACv1_scaffold_031717_1BL